rnacentral:rRNA from 1 species
AACGAACGCUGGCGGCAGGCUUAACACAUGCAAGUCGAACGGUUGUAGCAAUACAUCAGUGGCAGACGGGUGAGUAACACGUGGGAACCUUCCUAGGGGUACGGAACAACUCAGGGAAACUUGAGCUAAUACCGUAUACGUCCGUGAGGAGAAAGAUUUAUCGCCCUUAGACGGGCCCGCGUCGGAUUAGCUAGUUGGUGGGGUAACGGCCUACCAAGGCGACGAUCCGUAGCUGAUCUUAGAGGAUGAUCAGCCACACUGGGACUGAGACACGGCCCAGACUCCUACGGGAGGCAGCAGUGGGGAAUAUUGGACAAUGGGCGAAAGCCUGAUCCAGCAAUGCCGCGUGAGCGAUGAAGGCCUUAGGGUUGUAAAGCUCUUUUACCCGAGAUGAUAAUGACAGUAUCGGGAGAAUAAGCCCCGGCUAACUCCGUGCCAGCCGCCGCCGUAA